rnacentral:rRNA from 1 species
UGGCGGACGGGUGAGUAACGCGUGGGUAACCUGCCCUAUACAGGGGGAUAACAGUUAGAAAUGACUGCUAAUACCGCAUAAGCGCACAGGACCGCAUGGUUCGGUGUGAAAAACUGAGGUGGUAUAGGAUGGACCCGCGUCUGAUUAGCUUGUUGGUGGGGUAACGGCUCACCAAGGCGACGAUCAGUAGCCGGCCUGAGAGGGCGACCGGCCACAUUGGGACUGAGACACGGCCCAAACUCCUACGGAAGGCAGCAG